rnacentral:rRNA from 1 species
ACGGAAGGCAGCAGUGGGGAAUAUUGGACAAUGGGGGAAACCCUGAUCCGGCGACGCCGCGUGAGUGAAGAAGUAUUUCGGUAUGUAAAGCUCUAUCAGCAGGGAAGAUAAUGACGGUACCUGACUAAGAAGCCCCGGCUAACUACGUGCCAGCAGCCGCGGUAAUACGUAGGGGGCAAGCGUUAUCCGGAUUUACUGGGUGUAAAGGGAGCGUAGACGGCAUGGCAAGUCUGAUGUGAAAGCCCGGGGCUCAACCCCGGGACUGCAUUGGAAACUGUUAAGCUAGAGUGCAGGAGAGGUAAGUGGAAUUCCUAGUGUAGCGGUGAAAUGCGUAGAUAUUAGGAAGAACACCAGUGGCGAAGGCGGUCUACUGGACAGUAACUGACGCUGAGGCGCGAAAGCGUGGGGAGCAAACAGGAUUAGAUACCCUGGUA